CCCUUAGAUGUUCUGGGCCGCACGCGCGCUACACUGACGGAGGCAACAAGCCUAUCCUUGGCCGAGAGGUCCGGGUAAUCUUCGAAACUCCGUCGUGAUGGGGCUAGAUGAUUGCAAUUAUUCAUCUUCAACGAGGAAUCCCUAGUAUGGGCCUAUCAUCAGUAGGUCCCGAUUACGUCCCUGCCCUUUGUACACACCGCCCGUCGCUCCUACCGAUUGGGUGAUCCGGUGAACUAGUCGGAUGGAGGUUUUGCAAUUUUUGCUUAGCCGCUAGAAGACUUGUAAACCUUAUCAUUUAGAGGAAGGAGAAGUCGUAACA
rnacentral:rRNA from 1 species